UGGCUAAUGUCACUAUUGAAGUCAAGUGAGAGAGAGGGCCCUCUUGGAGUCAGACCACCUAGGUUCAAAUUCUGGAUCCUGCUUCCGGCUCCUUUCCUCUGUCCCCCUUCUCCCCUCGGUGCCCUCCAACCAGUGGGCCUGGGAAAGCGUGUUCAUGCUGGAAAUGCCUGCCCAGCCCUUGCCCAGUCACACAGAGCAAGUGCCCCAGAAAUGUCCUGAACCUCAGUUUACUGAGGGGAAACUAAGAACCUUCUGGCUACAGCUCUUGGGCUGAGCAGGGAUUAGGCUCGGGUCUGCGAUCCCAGGCCCUGCGGCCUCCCAGAGGCUUGGUUGAGAGCUCUGGCUCUCACUCCCCCACCUCCACCCAGCACCUGCCCCGGUCCAGGCUCACCCCCUACCCCUCCACCUGGUCAGUGGUGGCUCGGCCUCCUCUCAGCCCCUCCACCCCUCCUGGCUGUACACACCCUCAAGCUAACGGAAUUCAAACUGGUGGAGGAAGGCCUGCCCUGUCCCUCCCAGCCCCUGCCUCUCCCUCCCUACUCCCAGCCUCACUGGACCACUUUCAAGUCCUCCAGUGCUCCAGGCUCCAUCUUCAUGCCUCCAGGCCUUUGCACGUGCUGGUCCCUCUCCCAUUCUCCUGGUUAACUCCUCCACCUCCAUCCGAGCUAGGAUCUUCCCCUGGAGAGUGUCCCGGUUAGCACUACCCCACAACACACACACACACCGACAUACACGCCCCACAUCACAGGGACCACAUCCCACACAGGCACAGACACACUGCAUGACGCAGAUCACAGGCACAAAGGUGCAUGCGUGCACACAUACACACUCCCACUCCAUAUGCCAAUACACUUAUCCCCCUACUCCCACAUCACACAGACGGUUCCACACACUCCUCACACGCUCUGGCCACACAGUAAACACACACAGACCACAGAGCUCAUGUCUGGGCUGCCCUGGUGCCCUCCUCUGGGCUCGUGCCCCCAGCCUCAGCAUUUACCCCCCAUUGAGGGCAGGGACCCACCCAGCUCCGUUUUCCUCCAUUUCAGCUCAGGGCCCUGCACCAAGUCUCUCCCAGUUGUUGCUUGGACCCGGACUCCUCCCACAGUCACCACUGUCACAGUCCCACCUCCUUCAAGGUCUCAAACACCCCUCCCCUGUUUCUGGCAGGAGCCGUCCUCACUCCCUCUAUUGCCUCUCCAGACCCAGACUUCACCCUCAGGUCACCCUCACCUGGACUUUGGGGUGCCCCACACCCCGCCCCAGGCCCUGGCCUCUGGAAUAUUUGGAAACUUGAACUGGGCCAGAGGCUUAAGCUCACAUCUGUCUGGAGCCUCAACUUUCUCCUCUGUAAAAUGGGCUAACACUGAAAGAACCUUGCAGAAUCUCAGCAACGUCACAGAGGACAUUGUUAGCACAGCCAGCGGGCUCCUGCUGGGCUGAGUUUGUGGGUAAUCCAAGCCUCGGCAGGUACAGUUCCUCCCUCAGGUGAGUGUUCCACCCCCAAGUGAGCAUCCUGCUGCCCUUCCUGCAAAUCAGGCCCCUGGGACACUUAGUGCUGAGCCUUGGGGGUGGGGUAUUUGAUCGGGGUUCCUGACAAGUGGCUGGGUUGUCUGUUCCCUCUCUUCAGAGGGAGCCUCCAUGGGUGGCCUGGGCUCACAUCGGCUCCUCCAGUCCAGCAGAGCACCCCCCCCUGGCUGCCCAGCUUGUUGAGAGAACUUGCUGAGCAGGACAGUGAGCCCUUCCUGGUGGGGAACCGGAAUCAGGAGAAGACAGAGGGGAGGUGGCAGGCCCCAGGAUGGAGGGAGGGCAGCUGAGCUGCCUGCCCUCAUCCUCCCUGCCCUUCAGGUAUUAGGGCCCUUCCCAUGGCCCAGUAGGAACCCAGCGGCUCACCUGAGCCCGGACUAAGGAUGGGGCAUUUUACCCCAUAUGCAGAGAUGAGAAACAGAGGCCCAAGGAGGGAAGGGACUGAACACAGGGUGGAACAGCCCUGGGCUGCGCCUGUGUUUCCAUCCGCCUUCCUCCUGCCUGUGCUCGAGUCACGUGCUGGUGUGCAGGGAACAGGAAGACAGCCGCUGCCCUCACAGGCUCAGGGUCUAGCAGAGUCCACAGUGACCACAGGCGAAUAAACAAAGGCAGUGAGACAGAGGUGGGCAAGGAGAGGUGCUGGGAUGGGGAGCAAGGGGGUACCCAUGCUCAUGGGUAUGAACACAUGGACCCAUAUACCCAUAUGUAUGUCCCAGAGUUUCUUCCAGAACUUUUUUUUUUUUCCCAAGACAGAGUCUUGUUCUGUAGCCCAAGCUGGAGGUUGCAGUGAGCCGAGAUGGCGCCACUGCACUCCAGCCUGGGCGACAGAGCGAGACUCUGUCUCAA
rnacentral:lncRNA from 1 species